rnacentral:rRNA from 2 species
UGCCUUAGUAACGGCGAGUGAAGCGGCAACAGCUCAAAUUUGAAAUCUGGCCCUUGGGUCCGAAUUGUAAUUUGUAGAGGAUGAUUUUGGUGCGGUAUCUUCCGAGUUCCUUGGAACAGGACGCCUUAGAGGGUGAGAGCCCCGUACGGUUGAAUGCCUAGCCUCUGUAAAUCUCCUUCGACGAGUCGAGUAGUUUGGGAAUGCUGCUCUAAAUGGGAGGUAAAUUUCUUCUAAAGCUAAAUAUUGGCCAGAGACCGAUAGCGCACAAGUAGAGUGAUCGAAAGAUGAAAAGCACUUUGAAAAGAGGGUUAAAUAGCACGUGAAAUUGUUGAAAGGGAAGGAUUUGUGACCAGACUUUUUCUGGGCGGAUCAUCCGGGGUUCUCUCCGGUGCACUUCGCCCAGUAAAGGCCAGCAUCGGUUUUCGGCGUGGGAUAAAAGCAGUAGGAAUGUGGCUCUCUACGGGGAGUGUUAUAGCCUAUUGUAUAAUACCGCGCUGGGGACCGAGGUUCGCGCUUCUGCAAGGAUGCUGGCGUAAUGGUUAUCAAUCACCCGUCUUGAAACACGGACCAAGGAGUCGAACAUUUGUGCGAGUGUUUGGGUGUUAAACCCUCACGCGUAAUGAAAGUGAACGGAGGUGAGAGCCCUUACGGGUGCAUCAUCGACCGAUCCUGAAGUUUUCGGAUGGAUUUGAGUAAGAGCAUAACUGUUCGGACCCGAAAGAUGGUGAACUAUGCGUGGAUAGGGUGAAGCCAGAGGAAACUCUGGUGGAGGCUCGCAGCGGUUCUGACGUGCAAAUCGAUCGUCAAAUCUGCGCA